rnacentral:rRNA from 1 species
UACGUAGGGGGCGAGCGUUGCCCGAAUUUACUGGGCGUAAAGCGCACGUAGGCGGCGCCGUAAGUCUGGUGUGAAAUCUCACGGCUCAACCGAGAGGCUGCACCAGAUACUGCGGCGCUCGAGGACGGGAGAGGAGAUUGGAAUUCCCGGUGUAGCGGUGAAAUGCAUUGAUAUCGGGAGGAACACCAGUGGCGAAGGCGGAUCUCUGGCCCGUUGCUGACGCUGAGGUGCGAAAGCUGGGGGAGCGAAAGGG